AUCUCUUCUUGGCCUUUUAGCUAAGAUCAAGUGUAGUAUUUAUUCUUAUCAGUUUCAAGACCAGAGUGUGUGAUGAAAAUGUGCCCUGGAUCUCACACCCCACAAGAAAAUCUCAAAAGACAAUGGGGAAGCCUAUAUUUCCUUGAUAAGUUAAAGACCUCUAUAACACUAUAUCCUAACCUGUUUAUACCCAAA